GACGAACGCUGGCGGCGUGCUUAACACAUGCAAGUCGAACGAAGUGGCGAACGGGUGAGUAACGCGUAAUCAACCUGCCCUUCAGAGGGGGACAACAGCUGGAAACGACUGCUAAUACCGCAUACUGAAGGAGGGGCUUGCGUCUGAUUAGAUAGUUGGCGGGGUAACGGCCCACCAAGGCGAUGAUCAGGAGACGGUCUGAGAGGAUGAACGGCCACAUUGGGACUGAGACACGGCCCAGACUUCUACGGGAGGCAGCAGGUGGGAAGCUUCCGCAAUGGAGGAAAGUCUGACGGAGCAACGCCGCGUGAGGUAUGACGGCCGUCGGGUUGUAAAGCGCUGUUAAUCGGGACGCGGUACCGGAAUAGAAAGCCACGGCUAACUACGUGCCAGCAGCCGCGGUAAUAC
rnacentral:rRNA from 1 species